UACGUAGGGUCCGAGCGUUGUCCGGAAUUACUGGGCGUAAAGAGCUCGUAGGUGGUUUGUCGCGUUGUUCGUGAAAACUCACAGCUUAACUGUGGGCGUGCGGGCGAUACGGGCAGACUUGAGUACUGCAGGGGAGACUGGAAUUCCUGGUGUAGCGGUGGAAUGCGUAGAGAUCCGGAAGAACACCGGUGGCGAAGGCGGCCUGCUGGGCUAUGGCUGACACUGAGGCGCGACAGCGUGGGGAGCAAACAGG
rnacentral:rRNA from 1 species